rnacentral:rRNA from 1 species
AGUGAACGCUGGCGGCGUGCCUAACACAUGCAAGUCGAAGGAAGUGGCGCACGGGGGUGUAAUAUAUAGCUAAUCUGCCCCUUGCUGGAGGACAACAGUUUGAAAUGACUGCUAAUACUCCAUAGCAAGGGAUGAGACUAUAUCGUAUCAGCUAGUCGGUGGGGUGACGGCCUACCGAGGCUAUGACGCGUAACUGGUCUGAGAGGAUGCUCAGUCACAUUGGAAGUGAGACACGGUUCAGACUCUUACGGCAGGCAGCAGUAGGGAAUAUUGCGCAAUGGGGGAAUCCCUGAAGCAGCAACGCCGCGUGGAGUAUGACACUUUGCGGAGCGUAAAUUCCUUUUGUUAGGGAAGCGGUACCUAACGAAUAAGCACCGGCUAACUCCGUGCCAGCAGCCGCGGUAAUUC